CCUACGGGAGGCAGCAGUGAGGAAUAUUGGUCAAUGGGCGCGAGCCUGAACCAGCCAAGUAGCGUGAAGGAUGACUGCCCUACGGGUUGUAAACUUCUUUUAUCAAGGAGUAAAGUGAGGCACGUGUGCCUUUUUGUAUGUUCUUUAUGAAUAAGGCUCGGCUAACUCCGUGCCCGCAGCCGCGGGAAUACGGGGGAUCCGAGCGUUAUCCGGAUUUAUUGGGUUUAAAGGGAGCGUAGAUGGGUUGUUAAGUCAGUUGUGAAAGUUUGCGGCUCAACCGUAAAAUUGCAAUUGAUACUGGCAGUCUUGAGUACAGUUGAGGUAGGCGGAAUGCGUGGUGUAGCGGUGAAAUGCUUAGAUAUCACGAAGAACUCCGAUUGCGAAGGCAGCGUACUAAACUGCCACUGACAUUGAGGCUCGAAAGUGUGGGUAUCAAACAGGAUUAGAUACCCGUGUAGUC
rnacentral:rRNA from 1 species